rnacentral:rRNA from 1 species
AGGACGAACGCUGGCGGCGUGCCUAACACAUGCAAGUCGAACGGAGUUGAGGAGCUUGCUCCUUAACUUAGUGGCGGACGGGUGAGUAACGCGUGAGUAACCUGCCUCUGAGAGGGGAAUAACGUUCUGAAAAGGACGCUAAUACCGCAUAACACAUAUUUGCCGCAUGACAGAUAUGUCAAAGAUUUUUAUCGCUCGGAGAUGGACUCGCGUCCGAUUAGUUAGUUGGUGAGGUAACGGCUCACCAAGACCGCGAUCGGUAGCCGGACUGAGAGGUUGAUCGGCCACAUUGGGACUGAGACACGGCCCAGACUCCUACGGGAGGCAGCAGUGGGGGAUAUUGCGCAAUGGGGGCAACCCUGACGCAGCAACGCCGCGUGAAGGAUGAAGGUUUUCGGAUUGUAAACUUCUUUUCUCAGGGACGAAGAAUGACGGUACCUGAGGAAUAAGCUCCGGCUAACUACGUGCCAGCCGCAGC